GCGAGGCCGCCGGGGGCCCUCGUUCCCUCAGCCGGCCGUGAACCGCGCCUGGCAGCCGCUCCCGCCUGACCCGCCGCCCGCUCGGCGUGCCGGCCCUGCUCUCCGACGCCGGGGCCGGCCGCGCACCGGCGCGGGGAGAGCGCUGGGGGCGCGACCCGCCACCCGCACCUGGCGGGGCCCUGGAGCAGAGGGGCGCCCAGACGCCACUGCCUCCGGCUGCCCUGCUCUGCUGAAAGCAUCCUUCGCUUAAUUAACGCAGUUCACUUAAUGAGACCUUCUCUGCCUGCCCACUGGUUCCAAUACACAGCACACAGGACACUGGGUUCACAAAAGGGCAAUAGCGUGAAUUCUCGUCAGCCCUUCCUGCCCAGCCUUGGUAGAGCCGGGCCCUGUGGGGGCAGAGAGGACAGAGGACGGCAGGCUGGAGCAGCCGGGACCUGCUGUCUCCUUUCCGCUCCUUGUCACUGGGGAAAAGUGUAUGGGGAUGACCCUCAAACAAGUUGGCCUUAGGAAUGAAAUGACUAUCGCUGUAGUGCAGCUGAGACUCUCCCAUAGCAGCUUUGUUUAAUGAACAAACUGACUAGCACUACUUCAGCUAAGCAUUUCCCACGUAGUAUGAAUUCCAGGUAACAGGAAAUCGAAAGGUUAAAAGGUAGGCUCCUUACAUCAUGUCAUAUUCUGAAUGACCAAAAGUGACUUGAGCGUGUGAAACAGCUUUGAAGUAAUUGAAUUCCAAAAAUGGUUAAUUCCUCUGCAUUCCCUGGCUCUUGUAUGCUUGGCAUGUGCUCCCAUGGAAAGUGGAGUGUCAGUGAACGAGAAGGACCUAGUCAGGCAAUUGCGUGUGUGGUGAGGGAAAAUUGGAGUGAGCAGUGACUGAGCUGGACUCUGAACUGUGUAAAAUGCAUCACACAAUUGUGCUGGCUAAUGUAUGAGGAGGAAUUACUGCACUACGGAUUAUCCUAGGAAAUGCUCUGGGAAAUUCUUGACCCAAAGAAUGAGAUAGCUUCAGAAUUGUGUAUAUUAGGGCAAAGCCAAAAUUAUUGUCUGCCUUUUUAACUUAGAAGAUAGAGUAUACCGUCUGAAGUAGGCCUCUUUACUGUACAGUGAUUCAUAGAAGAAAAACCUCAACUGUCUCAAGAUAAAGAACAGAGAGAAGAGAAAUGAUGAUGAUGAUGAGAGUUGUGCCAGUAAAAAAACCCUAAAAGAUCAGCAAGAGCAAAGAUACAUGGACUGCUCUAACCUGUAUUGGUUUAACUCUUUAUGCUAGUUGAGAUAAUUUUUCCCCCUUCUUGCAAUCAGUAUUCUCAGCAUAAAGCUGAGGAGCACAGUGAAUUCAGUAUCAUAUAUCACAGAGUAUUUCACUUCUGUAACUGUAAUGGUACAAAAAAGAACAGCUUAUCUGUUAACUGUUUGCUGGAUAAGUAAUUGGUUGGUCACAUCCAGUGGGUGGUGGUUAAGGGCUCCGAGUCCUGAUGGACACGAGUCUCUCAGGGGUCUGUACUGGGACCAGUUCUAUUCAAUGUCUUUCUCAGUUACAUAGGUGAAGGGAUCAUCAAGUUUGCAGAUGACACCAAGCUGAGUGGUGGAGUUGACACACCUGAAGAAUGCAAUACGAUCCAGAUGGACUGGGACAAGCUCAGGAACCAGUCCAUGGAAAUCUCACGAGAUUUAACAAGGCCAAGUGCAGCGUGGUGCACCCAGAUAACUUUAAAACAGUUUUCAAGUACAGUCACACAAAUUCAGCAGAGGAGCAGCAUUUUAAAGGAAGUUCUACCAGGUCUUAUGAAAAUUGGCAUCUGAGUAAAGAAAGACGAUCCAAAUUGGGAUGCCACUCGGAGGGAUCUUGACAAACUUGUAAGGUUGGCCUAUGCAACCCUCAUGAAGUUCAACAAGGCCAGGUGCAAGGUCCUGCACCAGUUUUAGCGCAAUCCCAAGCAUGAAUGCAGGUUGGGCAGAGGACAGAUUGAAAGUAAUCCUGAGGAGAAGGACUUGGGAGUGUUGAUGGCUGAGAAGCUCAGCAUGACCCACCGAUGUGCACUUGCAACCCAGAGAGCCAGUCACAUCCUGGGCUGCAUCAAGAGAAACAUGGUCAGCAGGUUGAGGGAGGAGUUUCCUCAUCUCUGCUCUGCCCUUGUGAGAUCCGACCAAAUACUGUGUCCAGCUCCGGUACUUCCAGCAUAAGUAGUUUGUGGACCUGCCGGAGGAAGCCCAGAGGCGGGUCAUGAAGAUGAUGCGAGGGCUGGAGCACCUCUCCUAUGUAAACAGGCUGAGAGUUGGCAUGUUUGUCCUGGAGAAGAGUUGGCUCCAAGGAGACCUCAUAACUCCUUCCAGUACUUAAAGAGAGCUUAAAGAUGCUCAAGUACAGCAGACUAUUUCCAAUUGUCCAACAUAUUUUUGUAAACCUUUUGUUCAGUUUAGUUCCACAGCUUCCCCAUGCAGCUUGCUUACACCUCUCUUCUUGUAGAGUUGCUUCUGUUCGCAGUACAGUUUUCUGUAUUGGAAAUUACUCUGAUUUGUUCUUGUCCUUCCUUCAGGAGGCAUACAGAUUGGUUGCUGUCCCCUUGCAAGCAAUCUUGUACACAUGAAAGACUCCUAUCAUGUCUUUCCUCAGUCUUCUAGACUAAACAAAGCCAAUUUCUUUAAUCUCUCUUCAUAGUUCAUAUUUUCUGAACCUCUUCAUCUCCACUUUGGACUUUUUCCAGCUUUUCUUUAGCUUUUUUGAAAAGCAUGGUUAUAAAAACUCUUAUGCAAUGCAAUUCUCCAUCUAAAGCCCUAAUAAGACUUAGGGAAAAAAAUUAGUCUCUUAUGUAUAGAAUAUUUCUGGUAGCAUGUAUUGGCAUGGCAGUGGUCUCCUCUUUCUUUCCUUAGAUGUUAGUUUUGCAAAGUGUCAUAGCAUUAAUUUUUAUGCUGCCUGCGGUUUAAUACAGGCCUCCAGUCCUGUCAAUGUUUUUUAUUGUCUUGCCAGUUAUUUUUGCAUUAUAUUUAACUUCUUGUUCAUAUAUACAGGAGCUGGUCUUCGCUGUGAUGAAUUUCAACUUAGUUUUUUGUAUACAAGACUGUUUAUAAGGUAGAGCAUUUUGCAUCUUAACAUGGUUUAAGGCAAGUUUGCUAAGGUAAGUGAAGACCAAGAAUCUGUUAUAACUGCACAGAGCAAGCCAGCAAGUCUUGGUGGUUACUGUCAGUAUUAGAGCAUUUAUUACAGAAGUACUCAAGAAUAUUCUUCAAAUAUUUGUAGACUUAUAUUAUUCAAUUACGGGGCUGGAAAACAGAGGCAUGAAGGAAGGCCUUGACAGUAAGAUUUUUAAAAACUGCAAGUCUAAAUUUGGUGUCCCUGCAGAACAGCCUUGGAUGUAUUGGCCAAAUGUAAACUAUUUGCUUCCUAAGAAUGUCUGAUUUCCUGCAAUGGUAAAGGCGUCCAAACUUGAAGGCCGUUUGGAAAAUUUUGUCCAAAGGAACCUAUCUGAAAACAUCAAGCCAAGGCAUAAACAAGGCAUAAGCUGGAAUGUAAUUUGAGUGUCUGUAUCUAGGAGUACAUACUAUCUUAUGUCUUGGCAACAGGUCUGAAGUAAAAUAUACAGCCUUGCAGCUAUGCUUAGCUCCGGCACAGCACUAACCGGCAGCCUCUCUGUACCACAGCUGUGCAUGCCUAGCUGGCUCAGUCUGUGGCUAGAGUUAAUGCAAGACUAUCUCCAUUGUUCAUUCAGACAAACACUGAAUCUUUGUUUUCAGUCUUUUCCUCAACAGGUAGACAAAGCACUGUACUGCCUCACAUUGGCAGCCUAACAUUUUUUGUUGAUAAAAUUAAAGAUUUGAGGAUACCAGCUGCAA